CCCUUAGAUGUCCUGGGCCGCACGCGCGCUACACUGCUGUUCUCAACGAGUGAUUUCUCCUGGCUCGAAAGAGUUGGGUAAUCUUCUGAAACAACAGCGUGAUGGGGAUAGACCAUUGCAAUUAUUGGUCUUCAACGAGGAAUUCCUAGUAAGCACAAGUCAUCAGCUUGUGCUGAUUACGUCCCUGCCCUUUGUACACACCGCCCGUCGCUCCUACCGAUUGUUAUCUGGGAUGAGAUGUUCGGAUCGCUUACGUUGAUUUCCAAUGCGAGCGAGAAGUUCUUCAAAUUUCAUAUAAUAGAGGAAGGAGAAGUCGUAACA
rnacentral:rRNA from 1 species